UACGAAGGGGGCUAGCGUUGCUCGGAAUUACUGGGCGUAAAGGGCGCGUAGGCGGCGACAGUCGUCAGGCGUGAAAUCCCUGGGCUUAACCUGGGGGCUGCGCUUGAGACGCUGUGGCUAGAGGACGGAAGAGGCUCGUGGAAUUCCCAGUGUAGAGGUGAAAUUCGUAGAUAUUGGGAAGAACACCGGUGGCGAAGGCGGCGAGCUGGUCCGUUACUGACGCUGAGGCGCGACAGCGUGGGGAGCAAACAGG
rnacentral:rRNA from 1 species